rnacentral:rRNA from 1 species
ACCUACGGGAGGCAGCAGUGGGGAAUAUUGGACAAUGGGCGGAAGCCUGAUCCAGCAAUACCGCGUGUGUGAAGAAGGCCCGAGGGUUGUAAAGCACUUUCAAUGGGGAGGAAAAAGCGCAGGCGAACACCCUGUGUAUUGACAUUACCCAUACAAGAAGCACCGGCUAACUCCGUGCCAGCAGCCGCGGUAAUACGGAGGGUGCGAGCGUUAAUCGGAAUUACUGGGCGUAAAGCGUGCGUAGGCGGCCUGCCAAGCCAGGUGUGAAAGCCCCGGGCUCAACCUGGGAACGGCACUUGGAACUGGCAAGCUAGAGUUGGGUAGAGGGGAGUGGAAUUUCAGGUGUAGCGGUGAAAUGCGUAGAUAUCUGAAGGAACACCAGUGGCGAAGGCGGCUCCCUGGACCCAAACUGACGCUGAGGUACGAAAGCGUGGGUAGCAAACAGGAUUAGAUACCCGAGUAGUCC